rnacentral:rRNA from 1 species
CAGAACGAACGCUGGCGGCGCGUUUAAGCAUGCAAGUCGAGCGGCAAGGGCCUUCGGGCCCCUAGAGCGGCGGACGGGUGAGUAACACGUGGACAAUCUGCCCCCCGGACCGGGAUAGCCCAGGGAAACCUGGAUUAAUACCGGAUGAGACGGGACCUGCGAUGGCGGGAUCCGGGAAAGGCGCUACGGCGCCGCCGGGGGAUGAGUCUGCGUCCCAUUAGCUAGACGGCGGGGUAACGGCCCACCGUGGCGACGAUGGGUAGCCGGCCUGAGAGGGUGGACGGCCACAUUGGAACUGAGACACGGUCCAGACUCCUACGGGAGGCAGCAGCUAAGAAUCUUCCGCAAUGGGCGAAAGCCUGACGGAGCGACGCCGCGUGAACGAAGAAGGCCGUGAGGUUGUAAAGUUCUUUUCGGGAGGGGGAACAACCGUGGCAGGGAAUGGCCGCGGGAUGACGUGAAUCCCGGAAUAAGCCCCGGCUAACUACGUGCCAGCAGCUGC